GGCUCUUUUCGCUGUUGCUGCCUUCCCGGGGGCGGUCGCUUCGCUGCCAGAGACGCUUUCUUUUUUUUCCGGGUUCUGAGCCGUUCCGGAUGCUUUAGGUUGCCGGAUGUCUGAUCUUCGGAUAACUGAGGCGUUACUGUACAUGGAUUAUCUGAGAAUGUCUGAGUGUAUCCAGAUCUCAUUUGCUGUUUGUAGAAUUGGCAUUUACACGGUAAGCAAUGUAUGUUUUUGCUGUACCAAAUGUCAUACAAAAUAGGUGAAUAGGUUGUUUUGGUUGUUUG
rnacentral:lncRNA from 1 species